UUUCCCUCUGUUCUUGGAAGUUUCAUCACUUGGUUUUUGUCUUCUUUUCCUUUGCCUCUUCUUUAGGCUCAUCCCAUCAUCAUUACCAAUCGUGUUUUUCUCAUCUCACCAUCGUUACCAAUCUUGCUUCUUUCCUUUCUUUUGCUCAUUGUGGUUCCCUUCCCCUCUGCCUUAUCUCAUCAUGUCUCUCCCUUCCACUUCUGGAGCCGUCUCUGACUCCCAACAUCAGCAACUCCACCCUAUUCUUUCCCCAGAUUCCCACCGUCCUACAAAAAUUCAAAAGGUUGCAAACGUAACCCCUAUCAUAACAAACAAUCCUAACCUCUUCUCCACAAACCAACAAUCUUAUCAACAACAAAUCCAUGGCGCUCAUGAUGGUCAAGAUUCAACCAGUGGACACUAGUAUGCACCAGACCAGACUGAUUCUUUUCAACAACCUUCUCAUCAAGAAUCACCCCCUGGGGAGUCACCAGAUUCUGAACCGUUUUGCUAUUAUCAAGAAGAUGAUCUCCAAGAAAGUAUUAACACUUGCAAGAACAGCUUGAUUGAAAAGAUUCUCUCUGACAAAUCCAUUCCUACACCUUCUUUACACAACUCUAUGGCUGGAAUUUGGUCCAAACCUGCAGGAUUGAAGAUUACAGAAAUAGAAGGAAAAUUGUAUCAGAUAUCUAUGGAUAAAGAACAAGAUCUGACAAGAAUUCUAAAAGGAAAUCCAUGGAUAAUACGCAACUGCUGGUUAGUUCUUCAUUCUUGGGAUAGAAAGGUUAAUCCUAGUGAACUAGAUUUCUCUAAAAUUCCUCUUUGGGUCCAGAUGUGGGGCCUCCCACUUCACUGUAGAUCUAUUUGUAUGGGUAACCAAAUUGGGUCUCAAAUUGGUCAGGUUUUGGAUGUUGGAUUGUAUGAUUACCAUGAUAGUGCUAGGAUAGUGAAAGCUAAGAUUCUUUUUGACAUUAACUCCCCCUAUAAAGGCUGAAAUGUAUAUUGGUAAUGAUGUUGAUGGAAUUAACUAGGUAGAUUUCAGAUAUGAAAAUCUACCAAUGUUCUGUUUUAGAUGUGGGCUAGUAGCGCAUAAUGAUGACCUAUGUUCAAAUACUCCUCCCCAAGCUCCACAUUCUGCAGAAGGAUACAAUAACCCUAGAGGGGCAUUAUUCUUAAAUCAUUGUGAAUUCCAAAAGGGCAUUAUUCUUGAAAAAGACUAUGAAUUUAAGAAUACUCUUUAUUU
rnacentral:lncRNA from 1 species